UACACUAAUGGUCAAUAUGACCCUAACCUACAUACAGAUUAUUUAAAAUUUUAUUCACUAAGUAUACACUGAAAACCAAAAAUUACUUUUAUCAAAUAAAUUCCCUUUAAUGGGGUAAAGAAAAAUGUGUCGUGUUACCUGAUCCUAGUUUUGUCAUAUUUGAAGUUCGUAUUAUUUGAUAUAAUUGUGACGGAUUAACUUUGAUUUCUAAAAUAAUUCCGUUUUCGAUAAAAGAAAUUGUAAUUGAAGGCUUUAAAUGUUGUUUCUUUGAUAUUUACAGAGAAACGCAUAAUUGGGUCUUUAAUUUAUCCUCAAUAAAAAGAACAUAUUAUAUGGUUAAUACUCAGAUCAAUAGAAGUGGAAGCAGUUUUUUUUUAUGGAAUCUGCAUACCUGAGAAUCUAAGAGUUUGUUCAUUGAAGAGAUCCUCUGAACACAUUUUGGGGAAUGAAAAAGUAACGUAAUACUGUAGACAUGUACCAAUGAUUGUAAAAUCAGAAAUGAUUUCUUAUUGCAUACAGUUACCCACCCAUAAAAGAAUCCCUCAAUUU